rnacentral:rRNA from 1 species
UACGGAGGGGGCUAGCGUUGCUCGGAAUCACUGGGCGUAAAGCGCACGUAGGCGGACUCUUAAGUCGGUGGUGAAAUCCUGGAGCUCAACUCCAGAACUGCCUUCGAUACUGAGAGUCUCGAGUCCGGGAGAGGUGAGUGGAACUGCGAGUGUAGAGGUGAAAUUCGUAGAUAUUCGCAAGAACACCAGUGGCGAAGGCGGCUCACUGGCCCGGUACUGACGCUGAGGUGCGAAAGCGUGGGGAGCAAACAGG